CAGUAAAUAGUUUAAGUUAAAAUUUAGGUUUUGGGAAUUUAAGAUGUAAUUUUACUUUACUGA
rnacentral:tRNA from 1 species